rnacentral:lncRNA from 1 species
UUUUUCCCCCAAAAAACUGUCUCCCCACUAUUCGCAGCAGGAGUUAUAUACGUUUUAAGUCUUUCAGUUUUCCCACAACUCUUUUCGUGAAAGAGUUGUGUUCAUAACUAACUAUCACAAUCUCGCAGAUACUCAAAUAUCUUAUGUGAUAGAGUUGUGUUCAUAACCAACUAUCACAAUCUCACAGAUACUCAAAUAUAUUAUGUGAUAGAGUCCUUUAUCUGUAACAGUUACAGAUAGACUGCAGAU